AGUCAAUCAGUCAAUUAUUGUGUCAUUUUAUUGUCACUUGCACAUAAGGAUUCACCUAUACAUUGAAGUAACAGGAGCUGGACUCUCUCACCUGGUAUGUGUGACCGCUUUAUUCGGCUCCAGACGGUGAGGAGCAGCAGGAGCAGGAGUAGAAGCAGGAGAGUGACGGCUUCAGACACUGAAUUAACCACCAUAGGGCAGACGAGCACAGAUCAUUCUACAGAGGAGGAGCAGGAGGAAGCAGAGCAAGA